rnacentral:rRNA from 1 species
AGAGUUUGAUCCUGGCUCAGGACGAACGCUGGCGGCGUGCCUAAUACAUGCAAGUCGAGCGGACAGAUGGGAGCUUGCUCCCUGAUGUUAGCGGCGGACGGGUGAGUAACACGUGGGUAACCUGCCUGUAAGACUGGGAUAACUCCGGGAAACCGGGGCUAAUACCGGAUGGUUGUUUGCACCGCAUGGUUCAAACAUAAAAGGUGGCUUCGGCUACCACUUACAGAUGGACCCGCGGCGCAUUAGCUAGUUGGUGAGGUAACGGCUCACCAAGGUAACGAUGCGUAGCCGACCUGAGAGGGUGAUCGGCCACACUGGGACUGAGACACGGCCCAGACUCCUACGGGAGGCAGCAGUAGGGAAUCUUCCGCAAUGGACGAAAGUCUGACGGAGCAACGCCGCGUGAGUGAUGAAGGUUUUCGGAUCGUAAAGCUCUGUUGUUAGGGAAGAACAAGUACCGUUCGAAUAGGGCGGUACCUUGACGGUACCUAACCAGAAAGCCACGGCUAACUACGUGCCAGCAGCCGCGGUAAUACGUAGGUGGCAAGCGUUGUCCGGAAUUAUUGGGCGUAAAGGGCUCGCAGGCGGUUUCUUAAGUCUGAUGUGAAAGCCCCCGGCUCAACCGGGGAGGGUCAUUGGAAACUGGGGAACUUGAGUGCAGAAGAGGAGAGUGGAAUUCCACGUGUAGCGGUGAAAUGCGUAGAGAUGUGGAGGAACACCAGUGGCGAAGGCGACUCUCUGGUCUGUAACUGACGCUGAGGAGCGAAAGCGUGGGGAGCGAACAGGAUUAGAUACCCUGGUAGUCCACGCCGUAAACGAUGAGUGCUAAGUGUUAGGGGGUUUCCGCCCCUUAGUGCUGCAGCUAACGCAUUAAGCACUCCGCCUGGGGGGUACGGUCGCAAGACUGAAACUCAAAGGAAUUGACGGGGGCCCGCACAAGCGGUGGAGCAUGUGGUUUAAUUCGAAGCAACGCGAAGAACCUUACCAGGUCUUGACAUCCUCUGACAAUCCUAGAGAUAGGACGUCCCCUUCGGGGGCAGAGUGACAGGUGGUGCAUGGUUGUCGUCAGCUCGUGUCGUGAGAUGUUGGGUUAAGUCCCGCAACGAGCGCAACCCUUGAUCUUAGUUGCCAGCAUUCAGUUGGGCACUCUAAGGUGACUGCCGGUGACAAACCGGAGGAAGGUGGGGAUGACGUCAAAUCAUCAUGCCCCUUAUGACCUGGGCUACACACGUGCUACAAUGGACAGAACAAAGGGCAGCGAAACCGCGAGGUUAAGCCAAUCCCACAAAUCUGUUCUCAGUUCGGAUCGCAGUCUGCAACUCGACUGCGUGAAGCUGGAAUCGCUAGUAAUCGCGGAUCAGCAUGCCGCGGUGAAUACGUCCCCGGGCCUUGUACACACCGCCCGUCACACCACGAGAGUUUGUAACACCCGAAGUCGGUGAGGUAACCUUUUAGGAGCCAGCCGCCGAAGGUGGGACAGAUGAUUGGGGUGAAGUCGUAACAAGGUA